GACGAACGCUGGCGGCGCGCCUCAUACAUGCAAGUCGAACGAGAAACUCGGAGCUUGCUCCGGGUGGAGAGUGGCGAACGGGUGAGUAACACGUGAGAAACCUGCCCCGAAGACCGGGAUAACACCGGGAAACCGGUGCUAAUACCGGAUGUCCUUACCGGACCGCAUGCUCUGGUAAGGAAAUGGAUUCCGCUUCGGGAUGGUCUCGCGGCCUAUCAGCUUGUUGGCGGGGUAAUGGCCCACCAAGGCUACGACGGGUAGCUGGUCUGAGAGGAUGUCCAGCCACACUGGGACUGAGACACGGCCCAGACUCCUACGGGAGGCAGCAGUAGGGAAUCUUGCACAAUGGACGAAAGUCUGAUGCAGCGACGCCGCGUGUGGGAUGAAUGCCUU
rnacentral:rRNA from 1 species